AAUGCAUGUUAACUUGUUACGUUUCGUUUCACUAGUGGUCAUUGUUAAAUGACACGUCUUGUCACUCGAUUUAAAAAAAAAAACAUUCGUUAUUCGUCUGUUGGAGAAAUUAGUGUGUUUUUAAUGCGUUUAUGUUUAAUUUUAUGCGACUAAGCUUUACCUGGACACCGACGGACCUGUUUUCUAUUGUUGACCCACGCUAUCUUUUUUGGACUCUGAUUCUCAUUUCGAUUUGGUUACUUUCGACGAUGCCGCUUGAUAGAAAAUGCUGUGUACCGAACUGCAGCAACACACGAUUGGAUGGAACAAUAUUACAUCGUUUUCCUAAUCCUGAAAAAGACUCCGACCGAUUUCGUACUUGGCUGUAUGCAAUUGGUGGAGAUAUAUUAGCACUGGACAACAAGACCAUUCAUAAAUAUGGAAGAAUAUGUCAUCAUCAUUUUCAAGCUCGAUUUCAUACUGCUAGCAAUAGACUAUGUGCCAAUGCAACACCAACCCUGAAUCUACCAGGAUUCUUAAUUAAACGUAGGGAACCCCAACAAGAAGUUGGCAACAUCAAUGUUGAAAUCAUAAGUCAGUCGGACAAAGCUGAAGACAUAAAUCAGAGCAAACCAUCAUCUUCUAACAGUAAGCAUCAUAUUAAUGUAACAUACAAUUUUACAUGGUGCACAUAUCAAUGCAUUAGCAGUUUACACUAAUAUUAUAAAUGUGAAAGUGUCUGUCUGUCUGUCUGUCUGCUAGCUUUUCACAUCCUAACAGUUUAACAGAUUUGAAGAAAUGAAUCAGAGUUAGCUAACAUACCAGGGACUGACAUUACUUUUUAUCCUGGAAAAUCAGAGUUCCCACAUUAUUCUUAAUGGACCAUCUGUUUAACCAGUUUAUAUAAAACUUUGCACAGAGAUAGCUUGCGUCCCGGAAAUUGUUAAAGGCAACUUUUUAUCCCGGAAAAUCAAAGAGUUCUAACAGGUUUUUUAAAAACCUAAAUCCAUGCAGACAAAGUUUGUUUACGACAAAUUAUUUGUAGCUAUCAAUUUGAAAUAAAUGUAUUUAUGAC